rnacentral:rRNA from 1 species
AACAUGGAGAGUUUGAUCCUGGCUCAGGAUGAACGCUGGCGGCGUGCUUAACACAUGCAAGUCGAACGGACCCUUCGGGGUUAGUGGCGGACGGGUGAGUAACGCGUGAGGAUCUGCCCUUAGGAGGGGAACAACAGUUGGAAACGACUGCUAAUGCCCCAUAUGCCGAGAGGUGAAAAGUUAUAUCGCCUGAGGAUGAACUCGCGUCUGAUUAGCUAGUUGGUGAGGUAAGGGCUCACCAAGGCGACGAUCAGUAGCUGGUCUAAGAGGAUGAUCAGCCACACUGGGACUGAGACACGGCCCAGACUCCUACGG